AAUCCUUCUCAUGACUUGGUGAUGUCAGUGAGAGGAUUAUGACUUGUAGGUCGACUGAUGUCCUCUAAGAUAUAUUAACCAAAUCUUCUAAAUUAUUAGAUCCAUAAAAUAAGCUAGUUAUGGGGAUAACUAGAUCAUAGCCUCCUAUUAAGGUGUGUGAUAAUGAGUCCAAUAUCCCAAAUAGGUAUUGGAGGUGCCACACGCCUGGUGUCUAUUACGUAUUAGAAUUAUCAUUCAUUAUAUGACUAUCUUAUUCUACCUUCAGAUCAAUGCU
rnacentral:lncRNA from 1 species